rnacentral:rRNA from 1 species
GAUGAACGCUGGCGGCGUGCCUAAUACAUGCAAGUCGAGCGAACGGAUGAGAAGCUUGCUUCUCUGAUGUUAGCGGCGGACGGGUGAGUAACACGUGGAUAACCUACCUAUAAGACUGGGAUAACUUCGGGAAACCGUAGCUAAUACCGGAUAAUAUUUUGAACCGCAUGGUUCAAAAGUGAAAGACGGUCUUGCUGUCACUUAUAGAUGGAUCCGCGCUGCAUUAGCUAGUUGGUAAGGUAACGGCUUACCAAGGCAACGAUGCGUAGCCGACCUGAGAGGGUGAUCGGCCACACUGGAACUGAGACACGGUCCAGACUCCUACGGGAGGCAGCAGUAGGGAAUCUUCCGCAAUGGGCGAAAGCCUGACGGAGCAACGCCGCGUGAGUGAUGAAGGUCUUCGGAUCGUAAAACUCUGUUAUUAGGGAAGAACAUAUGUGUAAGUAACUGUGCACAUCUUGACGGUACCUAAUCAGAAAGCCACGGCUAACUACGUG